rnacentral:rRNA from 1 species
GCCUACAUGAAGUUGGAAUUGCUAGUAAUCGCAGAUCAGAAUGCUGCGGUGAAUACGUUCCCGGGCCUUGUACACACCGCCCGUCACACCAUGGGAGCCGGUAAUACCCGAAGUCGGUAGUCUAACCGCAAGGGGGACGCUGCCGAAGGUAGGAUUGGCCGACUGGGGUGAAGUCGUAACAAGGUAAC